GGAUGGUGCAAGCCUCUGCUCUUGUAAGACUUGAACUGCAGAACCAAUGCAUGAACCCUCCCCUGGAAGCAAAAUAUUAAAAAAAUUGAUCAAAAAAAGAAGAAGAAAAUGUAGCUUUGUUUCAUCAUCUCUAAAGCUAACAUUCAGGCAUAUUUUCGGCAAGCUCCCGUGAGGUUUUUGAUGCACCUUAGAGUUUGUGAACCACCAGUGAAGACCUUGCAUCCACUUUGGCUCAGGGUUACCAUUUAGGGGCAAAAGAUCACGUUGGAUGUUAUAUUGACUGAGAAUAUGGAAGAGUGGCCAGCAUAGAUGAGAUUACGCAGGAGGCUACUGAAAUUAUACAGACCCGAACUGGAUCAUGGUGGUGGUAGUGUCA